rnacentral:lncRNA from 1 species
CUGAAAAGAGGUUGAUCUGGACCCAUCUGAGAGGGUCAGGGAAACUAUCUAGCUUUUACUUCUGUUACUCUUGAUAAUAUCAUGAAAGAAUUUUGAGCCUUUAUCACUUUCUUUCAAGAAUUUCAUCUUGGCAAUCUGAGAGCAAAAGCUUCUAUCAGCUUCAGCCAGCCUGAGAGCUGAAGACUUUAACUCCACCAAUUGCUCUUGAAGAAGAGAAUCUGAUGGGUUAUCAUGCAAUUUCUACUGUAUGUCACAUAACUUUUCCUCUAUUGUAGUUGCUCUAGAAGAAAUAUGAGAGAACUGCUUCUUUUAAGAGCUUUAAGAGGCUCCUUAAGAAGUUUUAGCUUUCUACACAGUCUAAACAUUGCACUGCCUGAAUUUGAAAGUCCCAAACCGUACACAAGCCCUUGGAAUUCCUCAUAGAGAGCCCACAUGUUAAAAAACUUAAAAGGCUUUGCCCCUUGAAUGUUGCUCUCAAAGAGGGAGACCACACAAGGGGAAUGAUCUGAGAGCUUCCCAGGAAAUCCAAAGUUUGCAUGAGCCUUCAACCCAUCAAUAAUCAAUUUACUGUUAAUCAAAGCCCUGUCCAACUUGCACCAAGUAGUGUUGUUAGUCCAAGUAAGGAAGGCACCUGAGAAUGGAGUAUCUACAAGCCCCCAAAUUGCUAAAAUACUGAUGGAAGUCCCUAUUUCAUAAGGAGACACUAGUUGACCAUUGGAUCUUUCAUCUAUCUUGAGAACAUUAUUGAAGUCCUCCAGAAUUAGCCAAGGAUCCCUCAAAGCCACAUUAAAUCUAUCUAGGUUGGCCCAUAAAGGCCUUCUACCCACUAUUGUAUUAAAAGCAUAGGCGUCAAUAACUUGGUCUGAGCAGUCUAUCAUCUGAAGAUCCACCUUGUCAGUCUUUCAGAUGAUUAAAAUUCUACCAUUCGGAUGUUGAUGGAAGUUAAAUUAUGCCCAUUUUCUAAACUUGUGCUUAACCAUAUCCCUUAGAACUUUGCUAAUUGAGUUUUGUUUCUAAGAUACCCAUGAUAUCAACAUUUUCCCUUGGCAUGUGAGAAAGGACCCAUUCUGUUUCAGAGGUUUGUUGAAACCCUGAUGUUCCAACAAGAUACUAUCACUAAAGACGGCUAUUGAGGGAGUCACCCCUUAUUUGCAGUGACCACAACCAUUUAGACUUCAUUUCCAAACCUGCUUGGUUGUUUCCUUUCCAUCUUCUUCUUUAUAUCUGAAAUGGGAAUCACCACCAGGGAGGUGGAGCCGGCACCUUCUUUUCCAAUUCCAUUAUUUUCCCUUAUCUGACUAAUCUUAGGCCCUCCGUGUAGUGCUAUAAAAAACUGAAGGUUUUUUUAAGCUUGUUAUCACAAAAGGCUAAGAAUUUUUGAUUUUUUGCCUUUUGGGUUACGUUACCUAAAACUAAGCAAAAAAAGCCAAAACAGAAAAGCAAAAAAACCAAUCUGAUUGGCUUUUUUAAUUAUUUUAGCAAAAAAAAGUUAAAAAAAAAGCUGGUGCCAAAGGGCCUAGCCUGAGUCAUAGCCUGUUGAAUCUUGAGACCUAAGUGGCCACUCGCAACCUAUUGAGCUUGUUGGAAGUAAACUGCAUUCCCAAAGUUGCAGCAGUUUUGACUUGCUGUCCACUGGCUAGCUGUUGUGUUUCCUGUUCAGCACCUGUACCCAACCCAUCCAAGACUUGGUUUAAACCGCAUAAAUUUAUAUUUCUUGCUUUUCAACCUUAUUUAAAAGGGAAAUUGAUGGACGAUGGGUGGUGAUGGGGAUAAAACUAGCGCAAGUGACAAUGAUGAUGCUAGUGCUAUCGUUAUCGUCGGUGAAGAUGGUGAUGGCGACGAAGUCAACGAUGAUAAAGACGACGUCAACAACAAAAGACAAAAAAAAAUAAGAAGGAUUUUUUUAUUAUUUUAAUAAAUUCUCAAUAAAUUCUUAAAUUAAAAGAAAAAAAAUUAAUUAUUUGAACGAAUUCUUAUACUGUGAUUGUUUUCUACUUACUACAUAAUUUAUUUUUUAUACUAUUUUGUGAAAUGAUAAAUUUAUUAUUUUAUACAAAAAAAAUUAUAAAAAAAUAUAAACUAUGAGAGUGAUAUGUUUAAUUGAAAAAUAUAGUAAUAUAGUGGACAUAAAAUAAUUUUAUUAUUUAUAAUACAUUAAAAUUAAAAAAUAGAGUGAAAAAUUUAUCAUUCAAGAUAGUUUAACCCACAAGACCUACAUAUAAUUUUUAAAAGGUUAAGAAUUAAUUUGAGUAAAAAUUCAGUUCAUAAGACUUGCAUCUCAAAGCCCCACCUUUUUUUUUACCUUCCACCAUGAAAUUAUGUAUCAAUUACUGAAAAAUCAAAACCAUACUUUGCUAUUAAAAAAAGGGUCAUGCUUGGGCCGUGUUUAUCAUUUUUUCUUCCUUAACCACCCCCAUUAGCAUUUUCUAAAAAAAAAAAUAUAAGAAAACAAAGCUCAAAAAAGCUAUUGCCAAACCGUGGCUCACAAUACCUAUUACAAUAAAUGAGUAUAAUCUUGUAUAUCAUCAUACUAUUGAUUAAGUUUCAAAACAGUACUGAUUGAAUAAUAAAUUGUGUCUAAUCAAUACAAUUUUUUACAGUAUUAAUUUUUAUAAUAAAAUUUAUAAUCUAAACGAUUUAAAUUAUUAAAAUAAUUCAAAACGGUUGAAUUAUAAUUUAUUUUCUGAAUUUUAAAAUAUUUAAAUUUUUAAAAAAUUAUGAAAUAAUCACAUCACAUCACAUCACAAUGAGCUUGGUUUAGGCUGUUUAGCAGAAUGAUAUCAUAUUAUUUUGGAAUCCAUUGAACCACCACGCACCAACAAGUGUAUCGAUCAGUACAACACCUACAAAGAUCUUCGCCCAAACUACUGAUAUCUUUCGAGAAAAUCAAAAUCUUUUGGGGCGGUGGUUGCAUUGCAUUGCAUGGGUAGCACGACAAGGCUGGACUUGAUUGAUGGAUCGAUCGCUUGAUAAGAACGGAUAAGACAAAUGCAUAAAUAAAUACUAUUAGUUUACUUUAGUUUUUUUAAUUUAUUCUUAAUAUAUGAAACUGAAUUUUAGGUAAUUAUGAAUUACAUAUACUUAUGAAAUUUAAUAAAUAUUUUUAAUGGUUGAUCAAAUAUUUUUUGUUUUCAAGUUUUCUCUAGACGAGAGAAUUCGAUAAAUGUAAAAAACUCUUUCUAAUUUGAAAAAAAGUUCACUUUAGCCAAAAAUAAUAAUUAAUUUGAUGAGUAUUUUUUUUUAUAUUUAGAUUUUUUAAGAAUUUAAACAAAAUUUGUACACUCAAUAGACGGUGGAUAAAUUACUCUUUACAUAAAAUUAAAAAUCAAAGUAAACAAAAAAACUAAAAACCGUUACUCGAAAGACGGAAAUCUUGUACUCCCUUUGUCCCGAUAUGAAGUCUCUUUUUGGAGAAUUUAAACUUUUAAGAGAACACAAUUAUUUUAAAAAAAACAUAAUUAUUAUAUUUUUUAUUAAUUUUUUAAUUUUAUUUCUAUAAUUAUUACGUUUAACUUGUGGGGUUAAUACAAUCUGAUGCAACAGCUACCCUGGAAUGGUCUCGUCCGAAGUGGCUUUGUCUUCUCUGUCUGCAGUGGCUGUUGUGAUUGUGACGGUGGUGGGGAUUUGGAGUUCCCAUCGAUGGAGGACUCUUUCGUUCACCCUUUCGUGUCUUUUUCACUCCCCAAUUUUGAUAUGGUUGCAGGCUACAUUCAUACGGACCCAGAGGUUCAAAACCUACAAUACAACUGUCAAUUUAUUAUUGGUUAAUGAUUACCAAUUUUUUAUUUAAAAAAUAACAAAAACAGAGAUGUCAGCGCAAUUAAGGGCCCGUUUGGCACCAGCUUUUUUUUUGGCUUUUUAGUUUAAAAUAAGCAAAAAAGUCAAUCAGAGUUGGCUUUUUUGCUUUUCUGUUUUGGCUUUUUUGCUUAGUUUUAGGUAAACUAUAAAAUCAAAAGCAAAAAAAUCAAAAAUUCUUAACCCUUUUGAUAGCAAGCUUAAAAAAAGCUUGACUUUUAAGCACUACCAAACGGAGCCUAAGAGUUCACACUCUGAUUUGUUUCUUUUUGUUUCUCAAAUGUACAACUUCAUUUUAUCCGAUCAAACGAUAUCAUUUUAAUUAACCUAAAACGAUGUUGUUAUAUGGUUAAUAAAUAAAACGAUAUUAUUUUAUACAUUUCAAAAAUACUCUACCAAAAAAUCACUUCAGAUGAUCCAAAUUCGCAAAUUAAUAUCAACACUUAUAUAUAUAUAUAAACUCUCUUAUAUGAGGUGUACGGACUCGAGAUCAAUAUUUAUACAUUUUUUGCUUGAGGUUAGCAUUUUUCUUUUAACAACAAGUGUCAGCUAAAAAUAUUUUUAAACAACGUAGUUUGGAAAUAUAUAUAUUUUUUAAUUUAAAGGAAGAAAAAAAACAACUAAAUUAGUGGCCAAUUUUUGUAGCCUGGUUAAAUAAUCCAUCCAAUUUUUCGGCCUGAAGUGUUAGUCACUAAGUCUUUAUAAAGUUUUUAGUCUGGAAUAGCUCACACUUACAUGCUAUUAAUUUCUGUAUUAAAUCAAUUUAUAUGCGAUUUUGCCUUGAUUUUAAAUGGGUUUCUUGCUUAAGAAUAGUGGGAAUUGAUCUUAUACUGAGUUAUAAAAAUAUGUGUUUUGAGCAUAAGUUGAGUGUGCGUGUGUUUGGAAAUCAUUUUCAAUGAAUAAAAUGCUCAAUGAAAUUGAUUAAAAGUGUUGUUUCUGUGUGUGCAAUAGUGAAGCAGCCGGACAAAUAUAAUGGAUCAAAGGAAAAACAGAAUUCUCAUGUGGUGGAUUUGGAAGUGGUGAAUCUAAUAGACCCCACAGAGAGAUCACCACCAUGGCCAGUAGCCACGGGGGCCGUUUUGGCAUCGGAUUAGGAGGGAUAAUUUUUUCCUGGCGUUGGGCUACCGGAUUAUGGGGGCGGAUAAUUAUGCCCCCGGAUAAUUAUGCGAGUAGAUGGAUAGAGGUGGAAUAAUUUUGGGUGGCAU